CUUGCAGCCAUAUCACGUUGUUAGCACUGAUUCCCAUAAAAUCAACGAAGUUAAGCAGCAUCGAGCCUGGUCAGUACCUAGACAGGUAACAGCAUUGGAAUAACAGGUGCUGUAAU